ACGAAAUAUUUUGACUCUCCGCUUUGUAGCGAAUCCCGCGAUCACUUCGAAGCAAGCGGUUCUCCUGAUCGGAUGUAAAAGUGAUUAAUAGAGCUCGAUGGACAAGUGUUCAUUUAAGUGUAAUAAAAAAGUGAAAAGUACAGAAAAAAGAUACAAAUUUUUUUCAACAUAUUGUACCUUGAGAAAGAAGCAAUUUUAUCUAGUAAAUGGGACACAUUUAAGGAAAAGGUUUUUUGCUUUUACGAAGAGCAAAUACAAAACAAAGAGCAACUUAAACUAUUAAAGACAGUUCAGAAAACUGUAUCACUUGAUUGCAAGGACUACAUUUACACUUUAUUGCUCACAAAGGAACCAACAAGCGAAAGAUAUUAUCACUACUAGGACUCGCAGGAAACUUUUGUACGCACUUGCAGGCGUACGAAUGUGGCAAAUCACAAAAAUGUGUGAUUAUAAACAACAUUAAAGACUUUACUUGCUGCCCUAAGCAUAUGUAUCAUAUUAAUUCUAAAAGGUUCGUUAAGUAAAUAUGUAUUAAAAACAAAAGUAAUGAUAACGUGUUAGCAUGGUAAAAAAAAGGAUGUAAGCAAAACAGUUGUUUGGAUGAUAUGUUUAAGUUUAUUUUCAAU